rnacentral:rRNA from 1 species
UACACUCCUGCGGGAGGCAGCAGUGGGGAAUUUUGGACAAUGGGCGAAAGCCUGAUCCAGCAAUGCCGCGUGCAGGAUGAAGGCCUUCGGGUUGUAAACUGCUUUUGUACGGAACGAAAAAGCUCCUUCUAAUACAGGGGGCCCAUGACGGUACCGUAAGAAUAAGCACCGGCUAACUACGUGCCAGCAGCCGCGGUAAUACGUAGGGUGCGAGCGUUAAUCGGAAUUACUGGGCGUAAAGCGUGCGCAGGCGGUUAUGUAAGACAGAUGUGAAAUCCCCGGGCUCAACCUGGGAACUGCAUUUGUGACUGCAUGGCUAGAGUACGGUAGAGGGGGAUGGAAUUCCGCGUGUAGCAGUGAAAUGCGUAGAUAUGCGGAGGAACACCGAUGGCGAAGGCAAUCCCCUGGACCUGUACUGACGCUCAUGCACGAAAGCGUGGGGAGCAAACAGGAUUAGAGACCCCAGUAGUCCCAUGAU